rnacentral:rRNA from 1 species
UACGUAGGUGGCAAGCGUUGUCCGGAUUUACUGGGCGUAAAGAGCGCGCAGGCGGUCGAAUAAGUCGAAUGUGAAAGCCCCGGCUCAACUGGGGAGGGUCAUUCGAUACUGUCCGACUUGAAGGCAGGAGGAGAGAAGGCAGAAUUCCCGGUGUAGUGGUGAAAUGCGUAGAUAGUCGGGAGGAAUACCAGUGGCGAAGGCGGCUUCUUGGCCUGGUUCUUGACGCUG